GACGAACGCUGGCGACGUGCUUAACACAUGCAAGUCGAACGGAAAGGCCCUGCUUUUGUGGGGUGCUCGAGUGGCGAACGGGUGAGUAACACGUGAGUAACCUGCCCUUGACUUUGGGAUAACUUCAGGCAACUGGGGCUAAUACCGGAUAGGAGCUCCUGCUGCAUGGUGGGGGUUGGAAAGUUUCGGCGGUUGGGGAUGGACUCGCGGCUUAUCAGCUUGUUGGUGGAGUAGUGGCUUACCAAGGCUUUGACGGGUAGCCGGCCUGAGAGGGUGACCGGCCACAUUGGGACUGAGAUACGGCCCAGACUCCUACGGGAGGCAGCAGUGGGGAAUAUUGCACAAUGGGCGGAAGCCUGAUGCAGCAACGCCGCGUGCGGGAUGACGGCCUUCGGGUUGUAAACCGCUUUCGCCUGUGACGAAGCGUGAGUGACGGUAAUGGGUAAAGAAGCACCGGCUAACUACGUG
rnacentral:rRNA from 1 species